CCAGUCGGCCGGACAGCCGCUGUCGCAAGACAGAGGAAAGUCCGGGCUCCACGGAGAAACGGCGCCGGAUAACGUCCGGCGGGGGCGACCCCAGGGAAAGCGCCACAGAAAGCAAACCUCCUUCGCAUGCGAAGGGAAGGGUGAAAGGGUGCGGUAAGAGCGCACCGCGCGGGCGGCGACGUCAGCGGCAUGGCAAGCCCCGCCGGGAGCAAAACCGAAUAGGGACGACAGGAGGUUUUCCUCCACCCUUCUCCGGGGCGUCGUCCGGGUUGGUUGCAAAAGGCCUCCAGCAAUGGAGGUCGCAGAUGAAUGGCUGUCGCGCGCCGCAAGGCGCCAUACAGAACCCGGCUUACAGGCCGACUGGCGCC
rnacentral:RNase_P_RNA from 1 species